GUGGGGAAUUUUGGACAAUGGGCGCAAGCCUGAUCCAGCAAUGCCGCGUGCAGGAAGAAGGCCUUCGGGUUGUAAACUGCUUUUGUACGGAACGAAAAGGCUCUGGUUAAUACCUGGGGCUCAUGACGGUACCGUAAGAAUAAGCACCGGCUAACUACGUGCCAGCAGCCGCGGUAAUACGUAGGGUGCAAGCGUUAAUCGGAAUUACUGGGCGUAAAGCGUGCGCAGGCGGUUUUGUAAGACAGAGGUGAAAUCCCCGGGCUCAACCUGGGAACUGCCUUUGUGACUGCAAGGCUGGAGUGCGGCAGAGGGGGAUGGAAUUCCGCGUAUAGCAGUGAAAUGCGUAGAUAUGCGGAGGAACACCGAUGGCGAAGGCAAUCCCCUGGGCCUGCACUGACGCUCAUGCACGAAAGCGUGGGGAGCAAACAGGAUUAGAAACCCCGGUAGUCC
rnacentral:rRNA from 1 species